AGUAACAAUAAAAUUAAUAUUGAAAAAGAGUAACAUCAACUUUACCACUAUUUAUUAUUAAAUAUCAGUUUGCGAGCGAAGGAUGAGAUCCAUAAAACCUAUAGAAAUCAUAUUAUAGAAAUAGGAAAUCGGAAUGUUUGAUUAUCUUUUCUUAUUUGUCCAGUUGUUCAAUUUUUCAAUUAUUAUAAUGAUAUUAUUUUUAUAUCAACGCAGAUUUUAAUGAAAAAUUCAAGAAAUACAUCGGUUGCUUGUUGCGUAAUAAACAAUUAAUCUUCUUUGCUGAAAGUGCAACAUUUGAUUACGACAUAGGAAGUCCAAUUGCCGACUAGGACAUGGCAAUUGAAAAGUCUAUGGUCACUUGUAGGAAAUAUCUCUUGUAUUUGAAAGUAUCUACCGUACUUUGAAGAACAACCGAGCUUUCAUAUCAGCUCAAAUAAUGUAGAAUAAUUUUCUCUAGGAAAUGUUCCUAACAGCAUUUAAAGCACCACUUUUAGAACAACGUUGUUAAAAUUCAAGAGCUAAAGAUUACGACAAUGUGUUCUUACAUUAAAGAUCACGUGAAUACCCUAAAGUCUUAUUGGGAAGUAAUAUUCGUACAACUCCAAUUGUUUAAUCAAAUUCUUAUUUAAAAAUAUAAUAGCUGUAAACUCAGAAUUAAUAAGAAAUUGUAUAUUAAAUAUUUUUUUAAUUUAUAUUAUACAUUAUUACAUUAUAGAGAUUAUAAAGAUACUUGUUACAAAUUAAACCAAUAAUUAAAGGAUAUGUGAUAGAAUCGGCGAGAUGUUUAAAAGAUUAAUACUAUAUAUAUUUGGCAAUGUAUUAUAUCAAUGAAUUCAAUGUUAAUAAAAAGACAUGUUUAAUAUGUGCAUAUAUUAAACGUAUUUUAUAGAACGUAUUACAUAAGUUAAGAAAUAAUAAAAUAUAAAUCAGCAUUUUUAUUGUACAGCUAUGUUUCAUUGGACAAAUUGUGGAUAAUUUGUUCAAUAAAUAAUAUAAAACAAAAUAUAUUUCAACAUUUUUCUAAUUUAUAUAAAAUCAUUGUUUUAUUUAUCUUUAUCGAAAAAUAAGACCUCUCUUACCAAAAAUAUGCUAUUAGAAAGUAUGAAGUACGUAAUGUCAAAGACAAUCCAAGACCGAAUAACAUGAUAUAAUCUUAUAAUGAAUAAGUUAAUUUUUCAAUUAUGUGUAAACAUAGUAUUUAUGAAUUAUCAUUUCUUAGUCCAAGUAUAAAACAGAACAUCUAUAAUGUUUAAUAUUCCUAUAUAACUAAAAGUUUUAUUAAAAAAUUUGCACUAUUUAUAUUUCUAAAAACAAAUUAGAAUUACAUGCAUAGUCGUUGCAAUUUCGUUGUGAAAUGUCAGAAACGAACCGGCAUCUGAUUACAGGAUGCUGGGCUGAGACUCAGGUAUGCGCACAAUAAUGGCAAAUGGUCCUCAGCACGUGAUGGUUUGUAUCUCCAAGCAUAUCAGAUUACGGAAACGAUCCCGGAGGAACGUGCAUGAUACGAACAGAUAAUCGUGAGAUGCGAAGUAACAGGUCCACAGGAACGCGUAUAGCACGUGCAAGGUCAAGCAUGUGUUUGACAUGGACCACGAACGAUGAAGCGCAUUCGAAAUGGAAGAUUGAAGCAACAUCUUCUUAGAAAUAUUAGGAAAAAUACUUCCGUAUCCAUGACCUACGCGAGCUCGGGAAUUGGCAUUGAUGAUACAGGACUACCUGUUUGACCGAAACAUCAGAUAAUGCCCGUUAGAACUGGUUAUACCAACAAGGUGUAUCACGAUCCUACAGUGCGAUACGGAAGAUAAGCACCGGAAAGGGGUCCAGUUUGCCUCCGGCAAGUGACCUCAUGAACUCGAUGACCGAGAAAGAGAAAAUCCACCUGAUCGGCUGCUUCCACAUAAUUUUUUUCUUAAUUAUCCGUCCUACUAAUUAGCGAUACUCGCAAAUGACAUGGAGAAUUUUUGGUAUGAACGCAUGAUCCUUCAGUAAACAUGAAACGCGAAAAAUAGAGGUCACAUGUAAUUUAUGGUAAGUAGAAAACAUAUAUAUAAACGCAUAUAAAACGCAUGUAUAAACGCAUAUUCUACCGCAUCAAGUUUUACGACAUCGUAAACAUUGUAAUCAAAUGUUGACGAUUUUAUUGUGUAGUUGCACGCUUUAUUCGGCCAUCCCUCUCUGAUGUUUUCUAACUUACAAUUAGUGAACAUUAUACUAUAUCAUCGCAAUUAUCGUAUGCAGGUCACAUGUUUCUUGUACCUGUACUGAGAAGCUAGCACUAUAAAUUUCAAUUAAUUAAUCUUUAUUAUUUAUUUACUUACAUAUUUUGAAAGAUUGAACCCUCCAGAUACUGAAGAUGAUUCUUUGUACGCAAGGUAGUGUCAGAUAACUAUGAAAAGAGAUUAGCCACCAGGACGCUAAUCAACAAUUUACAUAUUCAUGACAUUUAUCUUGCACUAACUAUUUACAUAUUCAUAAUUGAGUUUCUCACAAAAUUGCAAGCGGGAAAAAUAGGUUUCCCAUUUGUCGUAGAAUGCAUCGCUUUAAUGAAAGUUCCGCUUUGCAUGUAUAUAUAAUCAUACAAUUGAAAUCAAUUGACACAAUCGGAUUGUAAUCUUUUAAAAACACUGUGAUUGCUAAAUACACUUAAUUGGCGUGGCAAAUGCAAAACGUAUUCGGACGAUACAGUUGACUUCAAACGAUUUAGUCGAAUCAUUCGAUUUCCUUCUUCAUGCAAUAAAGACGGCGAAAGGAUUCUCGCGCGCGGUCAGUUAAAUUGCGAAUCUUUCUUACGUAAACGUCGAGCACAGAUCGUGUAACGCGCUGUCGUGAGUCUGAAUUGCAUCGGAAUAGUUGCUCGCUGUUUAGUUGAGAGUUUGCAUUAUAAAUAAAAUAUGUUAUUAUAUAAUAUUAUUAUAUAAAAUGUCAUUUCUUCCUCUUACGUUAAAUAUUUUUCAAUUAAUAUUAUAAAUGAUACAUCUUGAAAUCGUUAAAUGUUCUUUCGUUCAUGGAAUCUUUGAAUGAAUUAUUGGAUUUAAUUUAAUAUCGCCUUUUUUGGGAUCAAAACUCUUUAUUAUAAAAUACUUUAUAUUAUUUAGAUAAAUUAGGUUAAUGUGAAGUAUUUUAAAGCUAAUUGUCGCUCGUACAAAUUUUUCACGGAUUGAUAUAAUAAUAAAUGAUUAAGCUUAUCAAAACAUAGUUCUGAUUGAAGAGAAUUCAAAACACUGUCUCAAAGCUGUCUAUUUUCUCUCAUUCUCUCUUCUCUUUGCAGGAUCCGGUUUCUCAUGAACCGGAUCUGGAAGAUCCCUUUUUCCUUAGCUAUGAGAAUUUAUAACAAUCCGUCCACAUUUCUUUACUGGAACAGCAUUGCUAUUGCCGAAUAUUUUUAAGCCGCAAUUUCAUGGACUUAGAGAAAUUCAGAAUCCAAGUAGUAAAAGUUAAAUAUAUCUUCCUCUCCAAUGAAUAUAUGGAUGAAUGUUUGUUAAUCGGCAUAAAAUCAAUUCUUUUGAUCAUUAACCCGGACCUGUCAGAUUUACACCUUACGCCAUGCGGCUUUGACCUGUGAGAGAGUUCUUGCCACAGGCAACCCUCAUUAGUGGCUCUUAAUUGCUUUGGCGUGGCUUGACUGUAACACAGGUUUUACGCAACAACUGUUUUAUAUCGUUCUUCAAACAUGAACAAUUAUUAUUUUUUUAAAUGUUGACUGAUUGUUUCAAUUAAUUGCAUGCCUAAAAAAUAUACCUUAAUAUAACGAAUUUUACAAUUGUAAAUAAACAUUUAUCACAUAAUGUAAUAAAUUUUUUAUGAACGACAAAAAAAUAGAAUAAAUCAUAAAUUUAUGGAUAAAAAUAAAAGUUUCUCCUUUCGACAAACAUUUAUGUAAAAUUAAUAGUUGCAAAAUCAAAGAUCUACGUAUAGAAAAGUUUGUAGUAAAGUCAGAGUUUCAAGUAGUGCGUGUAAAAUAAAACUAUUGUUCUCAACACAGACGCGAAGCUAAGAAAAUCAGGACGAUCGAUGAUCUUUUGUUACAGUAGCAGGACACUCAUUCACUUGACAAGCAAAUCGGCAGGUUUGGUUACGAAAGCUGGACCAGUCAUAAAACCGGUCUAUCUUCUCUAUGGAGGACAUGCGGAUCGAAAUCAUCGAUAAGCGCGCAGAAAAAUAGCAUAAUAUAAAAAAUCAAUCGCGAUCCAUGGCAAGGGAGAGCAGUGAUAGACAAACAAUGAAUCGUGAAAGUGAACAUCCUUUGUCCCAUAAAUUCAUUAUUAUCAUUCAUAUUGUGAAUUACUGUGUAUACGAUGUCGUAGGCUGCUGGCACUUUCUUUGCAGAUUGAGGAUAUAGACUGAGAUUGGGGCUUUAUAGAUCGAGUAUUCAAACAAUCUAAAUCAAAAUAAGUUUUUAUUUCUUUCAUAAAUAAGACCUAAUAAAAAUUUCGAUAGAGAAUAUCGAAAAGAGGUAUCAAAUAUAAAAUUUUGCUAUAAUUCGGAAUGUUUUUUAUUAUUAACUAAAUCAAAUUAAUGACUAACGUUCCUCCUUCUGCUACUUUUAAACUGUCGUAGAAAAUCUAGAGAAGACUUGCUGCUUCAUACUAAGGUGUUAUCGAAAUCCCAUUGUCGUUAUGCUAUAUACGAUUGACAAUACGACUUUCUCCGUGCAACAAAGCCAUGACGAAAGCUACAUGGAACUCGAGCAAUCGGAAUCAUUCAGUGACUGCAUGAAUAAACCUGAUCUAUUAGUGUUGCACAAUGUGUUUGGUGGGUGUGCAUGUGAUUACUUGUUUCACGAUACUUCGAUCUACUGUGCCAGUGACACAAAUGAGUUCUAAGUACCGGGAUGUUAUCUCUCAAUGCAAACGAUGUUACGUUUCGAGCACCACCUCCAUGAAGCGGUUUGUAUGGAAAUAUAUAUGCGUGUAUAUGAAUAUUAUAAAUUAUAUCUGUUUUCUCUACGAAAAUUUUGUUUGUACAAGAUGAAACAAAAGAAGACAUGUGGAUUGUUCAAAAAUAAUUAAGUGAUAUUUGAUUAUAAUUAAUAAGUGUUUAAAAACUCU